UAGGGAAUCUUCCGCAAUGGGCGAAAGCCUGACGGAGCAACGCCGCGUGAGUGAUGAAGGUCUUCGGAUCGUAAAACUCUGUUAUUAGGGAAGAACAAAUGUGUAAGUAACUAUGCACGUCUUGACGGUACCUAAUCAGAAAGCCACGGCUAACUACGUGCCAGCAGCCGCGGUAAUACGUAGGUGGCAAGCGUUAUCCGGAAUUAUUGGGCGUAAAGCGCGCGUAGGCGGUUUUUUAAGUCUGAUGUGAAAGCCCACGGCUCAACCGUGGAGGGUCAUUGGAAACUGGAAAACUUGAGUGCAGAAGAGGAAAGUGGAAUUCCAUGUGUAGCGGUGAAAUGCGCAGAGAUAUGGAGGAACACCAGUGGCGAAGGCGACUUUCGGGUCUGUAACUGACGCUGAUGUGCGAAAGCGUGGGGAUCAAACAGG
rnacentral:rRNA from 1 species